AUCAGUCAUGUGUUGAUACCUUGCCAAGAGUCAUCCUAGUGACUUUAGCCCUUUCUCUAUGAUCAUAACCCGACUUACAGUGCAAGGUGUUUUGUACUGGUUCCGCCUACUGCCCUCAUGGCCUUCGUCUCCUGCCUGAAAACACCCUUGCUGAACCAUGUGAGCCCUGCUGGCAACUUGAGCCGCUUGCGGACAUCAAUAUAUGUACCGCAGAACUCAUACAGUCCCCUUGCAUAACGAUCUUUCACCGCAUCGGUCCAGGGUCCAAAGCGGACCGGCUCGGGGUUCGGGCAACCUAGAGAAACAACCUCCGAGGUCCGACAGUUGAAAUCGCCCGCAAUCGACGCAUAAAUGAACACCUAUGACUCGCACUGCUUGCCUGACGUCGUCAGCACACACAAGUACCUACCAGAAGCGUUGGUGUUUGGAGUUAGGCGAAGGGGUUCGGGCCGAGCGUUCCAAGUCAGAGACCAGAACUUCCUCGCUAGAAGACACGGCAGAAAGCGGGAAAAGUGCAAAGGACUCGCCAUUGUUUGUUCAGCACGAUUGUCGGGUUGACACCGCCUGGUUCCUCCGUCCUCAGCUCUUUCCACAAUGCUUUUCAACUGGCUACAAAGUGUGCACGUACAGAACCCAACUACAGGUACUCGCACUUGAACAGGAGAACGAUACAAGUGCAAGUACUCGUACCGACCAAGUGACAUAUUCGUAUAGAUCUCUAGUCGUACUCUGUCUACAGACCGGGAGACUCAUCAAUUAGUUUGCUGUCGAUACAACUAUGGGUAGGAGUAGAAUGGAGAACCGCCUGGUCACCACUCCAUGGAACAUUUGUCGCAUCUACCGAUACAGAGACGCAGGUGGAACGCUAUCAACGUCAUCGUCGAUUCAGGGUUUUAGCCGCUUCAAUACCCGCUCUUACAGGUGUCUCGGAGCUACUGGUAGCAUCUCCGUGGAGACCUAGUUUGACCAUUGCUCAGAGCCCGAACUUAUGUCACGCUAAGAAUGAGGGCGGAGAUGAACAGACAGAAGAUCCCGUGGAAAAUAGAGUGCGCAGAUAGACAAUGUCUUAGAAUAUCGGACCCAGUGACUAUCGCCUCAGAUCUGAUCUUGUCUCAACCCACGGACUGAAAAACAACACAGUCAAACAGGACAUUGUAAGCACAUUGUAAGC
rnacentral:misc_RNA from 1 species